rnacentral:rRNA from 1 species
GACGAAGGGGGCUAGCGUUGUUCGGAAUUACUGGGCGUAAAGCGCGUGUAGGCGGUUGUUCAAGUCAGGUGUGAAAGCCUUGAGCUCAACUCAAGAAAUGCACUUGAUACUGGAUGACUAGAGGACCGGAGAGGAUAGUGGAAUUCCCAGUGUAGUGGUGAAAUACGUAGAGAUUGGGAAGAACACCAGUGGCGAAAGGCGGCUAUCUGGACGGUUUCUGACGCUAAGA